GACGAACCGAGCAAACGUUAUUCGGAAUCACUGGGCUUAAAGGGCGCGUAGGCGGGCAUUCAAGUCCGUGGUGAAAUCCGGCAGCUCAACUGUCGAACUGCCGCGGAUACUGGGUGUCUCGAGGGAGGUAGGGGCGUGCGGAACUAUUGGUGGAGCGGUGAAAUGCGUUGAUAUCGUGAGGAACACCAGAGGCGAAGGCGGUUACCUGGACAGUUACUGACGCUCAGGCACGAAAGCAUGGGGAGCAAAAGGG
rnacentral:rRNA from 1 species